rnacentral:rRNA from 1 species
CGGAGCACGUGAAACUUUGACUGAAUAUAGGUGGACCAUCAUCUAAGGCUAAAUACUCCCAACUGACCGAUAGUGAACCAGUACCGUGAGGGAAAGGCGAAAAGAACCCCUGUGAGGGGAGUGAAAUAGAACCUGAAACCGUGUACGUACAAGCAGUAGGAGCCCUUCGAGGGUGACUGCGUACCUUUUGUAUAAUGGGUCAGCGACUUAUAUUUUGUAGCGAGGUUAACCGAUUAGGGUAGCCGUAGGGAAACCGAGUCUUAACUGGGCGUAUAGUUGCAAGGUAUAGACCCGAAACCCGGUGAUCUAGCCAUGGGCAGGUUGAAGGUUGAGUAACAUCAACUGGAGGACCGAACCCACUAACGUUGAAAAGUUAGGGGAUGACCUGUGGCUAGGAGUGAAAGGCUAAUCAAACCGGGAGAUAGCUGGUUCUCCCCGAAAUCUAUUUAGGUAGAGCCUCGGACGAAUACUUACGGGGGUAGAGCACUGUUAAGGCUAGGGGGUCA